rnacentral:rRNA from 1 species
GAUGAACGCUGGCGGCGUGCCUAAUACAUGCAAGUCGAGCGAACAGACGAGGAGCUUGCUCCUCUGACGUUAGCGGCGGACGGGUGAGUAACACGUGGAUAACCUACCUAUAAGACUGGGAUAACUUCGGGAAACCGGAGCUAAUACCGGAUAAUAUAUUGAACCGCAUGGUUCAAUAGUGAAAGACGGUUUUGCUGUCACUUAUAGAUGGAUCCGCGCCGCAUUAGCUAGUUGGUAAGGUAACGGCUUAUCAAGGCGACGAUGCGUAGCCGACCUGAGAGGGUGAUCGGCCACACUGGAGCUGAGACACGGUCCAGACUCCUACGGGAGGCAGCAGUAGGGAAUGUUCCGCAAUGGGCGAAAGCCUUACGGAGCAACGCCGCGUGAGUGAUGAAGGUCUUCGGAUCGUAAAACUCUGUUAUUAGGGAAGAACAAAUGUGUAAGUAACUAUGCACGUCUUGACGGUACCUAAUCAGAAAGCCACGGCUAACUACGUG